GCUGUUAUUCUUUUUUCACUUGUUUUUACAGUAUUGGCACAAGCUGUGCUUCAAGUGUGAGUCAUGUGGUUUGUCACUGACUAUGAAGAAUUACAAGGGGUACAACAAGACACCCUACUGCAAUGCCCACUAUCCAACUACAAAAUUUACUGCUGUUGCUGACACACCAGAGAAUCGCCGCCUUCAGCAGCAAACUAAGAACCAAAGUAAUCUGCAAUACCAUGCAGAACAUAAAAAGAAUCUGGAGAAGUUCACGGCUGUAUCAGAUGAUCCAGAAAGUAGACGACUAGCAAAAAAUACUCAGCAGUCUUCUAAUGUGGCAUACAAAGCAGCUGCCCCACCCCCAUCAGCAGCCAGUGCCCCUCCCCCAAGUAUGGGAUAUGCUCCAUCUCAGCAGUAUCAGCCACCAAGAAAUGAGACAUCUUACCAACCACCAAGAAAUGAGCCGUCAUCAUACCAGCCACCACCCCCUCAGCAAGUCCAGCCUCCUCCCCAGCAGGAGCCUACUCCUCCUCCUCCUGCUCCUGUUUCUUCAACACCUGCAUAUGUAGCACUCUAUGACUAUAAUGCAGCGGAUGAUGAUGAGGUGGACUUUGUGGAAGGGGAUAUUAUCAUCAAUGCUGAAAUCAUUGAUCAAGGUUGGAUGACAGGCACUGUACAACGUACCGGUCAAAGUGGCAUGCUUCCAUCAAACUAUGUUGAACCAAACUAGAAAAUAGAUUUUUUUUUGCAAACUAUAGGUUGGAGACAUUGUACAUGCAUAAAAAUGUAUGUCAAAUUAUCAAUCUUUUUAACUGGUGCAGCAAUUUGUCUUAAGUUACACAUUGUAAGUAAAAUUAUAAUGUUAAAAUGAUGAAUUACCUGCAAGUAUUAGAUAUUGUUAUCAUUGUGCACUUUAGCCUAUCAAUGUGACAGAAUUCUGUUAUAUUAGUUAUGAAAUAUUGUCACAGACACGUUGCACAAGGUUAUUUUUAUAAAUAAAAUCAAUCAAAGUAUCUUCUUUUGUGACCAAUUGCACCAAAAAUAUUAGUGUCAUUGCUAGCAAUUGUGCAAACAGAAUCACAGUAAAGUCACCAAGUGCCUUGCAAAGCAUUGAUUGUAUUAGGGAUAAACACUGAGCUAUACUAACACAAAUAUUUUUCUUGUAAGUUUGUAAGAUAUGGAAGUAAAUAAUGUGGGUAUAUGGUAGGUUUGACAGCAAGAAUGAGCCUUUUCAAGGAAAAACAAUAGAAAUUAACCACACAAAUGAAGAGAAAUAAAAAUGAAGCUAUAUGAAUGCUUUGAUAAGUGUACAUGUAGCUUGAGAUAGGAAUCAAUGACAGUAAGUAAACUAGAAUACAGAAUUCAUAGUCAUGGCAAAAAGAAAUGCCAUCAAACAAAUAGAUUAGUUAGAUUAACCAAAAUAUGACUGAAAUAGCACACAAUCUUAUAUUAUCAAUGUCAUUUUAUUUAAAAACUGAUAAUUUCACACCAUACAAAGCAAUGAAAAUUUGUCAAAAACCUGUGUUCAAUUAAAAUCUAUAGAUAUUUUAUAAUCACCAUUUUCAUCAUCUAUAAGUAUACUGGACUUCUAUAAGUCAGUAAAAAAUUUAAUGGGUGUAUAUACUUAAUGAUUUUACAAUAGGGAAAGAUGGAUGCAUUUAUGUUGUACCUUGGAGGAAGGUUGAGGUAUUUAACUGCAUUUAUAUUGCUGUACAUUCACAUACAAAUAAAAUUCAGCUUGUUGCAAGUUUGUUUUGUUCCAAACAAUCUUCUCAAGAAGUGUCAUUGAGCUCAUUUCUGGUCAUUUCAACAUAUUUCCAUGUAUAAAACAAUAAUAAUAACAGUGCUUGUAUAGCGUAUAUCACAUUAUGUCUCUAUGCGCUUCCAAAGGACUUGGAUAUUAUUACUCCGGCUUCAGUUUGAGCUAAACAUGCCUUUUACAAGCUUGAAAUAUUAUCUUGCAAGAAAGUGAUAGCUUAUUCUAUCCCCUAUACAUUCCUGGAAUUUUUUUUUUCAAUUAAAGGGGAAUCCAGCUGUGGUCAUAAAAAUGUAUUAGAAAAGAGAAAAUUAAAAAGUUCAGAAUACGGUAGCGAAAGCUACUACUACGGUAUACAAUUGAGAUCACUAACUCUAUGUAGAUUUCAAAUUGGCAACUUGAUAAGUAAAUUAUGACAAGGGGGCAAGGAAAACUUCCCCAUAGGCCAUGUACUUAAUUAUCAGGGAUUUAUGGUUUUCUCUUAAUAAGUACACAUUCCCCUGGGGCAGUAAUCUCAAUAUAAUCCAGGUAGUGUACUGUUUAUUUUACUCAUGAAAUAAAAAUUUAAUUUGAAGUAAAACUUCUGAAAAAAAAAAUUUAGCCAUUGUGUUUUUGAGUACAUGUAAAAAUGGUCCUUGCCUUACAUCACAUAUGCAGUUUGAGGUCUUCAUGGGUAUAGUGAUUACCAAUAUGUACGACAUUAAAAACUUCAUAACUUUCUUGUUUGUCUGAUAUUGUUCAAACUUUCACCUAUCAACUUGUCUGUAUUUUCUUGUUCCUCUUACGUUUGGGUUGGAUUCCCCUUUAAACCCAGAAUUGCCAUGAUAGUGUUUUAUUUGGGCUUUGUAUGUUUAUUGAGAAAAAUGUCCCUGGGUCAUUAAGAGACAAACUUCUGGUCAUGCAUUAUGUGUCGUCCUAAUGCAGAAAGAAAAUAUGGAUCCAUAUUACACUCUUUUGAUAUUCAAAGCACAUACACUUCAGGGAAAGAGACAGAAAAAAAAUUACAUGAAUAGCAUCACAUAUAUUUUGUGUUUUUUUUGAAAUAUGAAUAUAAUUUGUUUUAUGUAUGAGUAGGGGUUCACUCCAGUACACAAAUUUGUCAUGUUCACUUAUUUUGAUGGACACAGAUGUUUAUAUCAUGUUAUAAUUUACAUACAACUUCAGCUUCACACUUUCUUUUUGGAAUGUUUUUAAGUAUGGUGUACAUGCACAUCAUAUAUAUUUCAUCUAUUGAUGUGAUAUUACAUAUAGAUAUUACUUGUUUGUACUUAAGAUUCAUGAAGUUACUUUUCAAAAGCAUUGUUUUGUACAUAUAUUUGAGCAUGUAUACAAUACAAUUAUAUAAAAUGGCAGAUGUUUAUGUUUUUAUUAUUUCUUAAAAAUUGCAUUCAGGAAAUGAGAUUGACAAGCAUGAUAUGCAAAGCUAAUCACUUCUAGAGGAAAAUAAUCAAUAUUGAUAGCAAUGCAACAUUAGAUAAUGUAGAAAUGAUUGUCCACGUGUAUAUUAUCAUGACCUUAGAGUGUUAAAAUUGUAUGCAACAAAGUAUGAAUUAGAUAGAGAUAAAAUACACACUUUUGGAUUAAGAAAUAUGCCUCAUCUGUAAAGUAGUCCAAAUAUAUUUCACUGAUAUUGAAUAACUUGUUACAUAGACAAGAGAUAAGAGUUUGUCUUUGGAUAAUCACUCAAGUCAGUGACAACCCAAAGUCUAAUCUGAAUAAUCAUUUUCACUAUAGACUAGCUUUUGACAUUUCAUCUUUAGUGAAUGAUGGUGUAUCCAGCUUAUGCUGUGAAGGCAGUACAAGUCAUAUCCAUGCCCACAAAGUCAGUGGUCUUCUAUAUCCUGUUUUAGUUACAAGAGCAAUCAUCUUCUUCAAUUGACUUUCUUUUUGUAUUGGCAAUGCAUACAGAUGAGAUAUGAUAGAAGACUUGCCAAGGAUAUUGUUUUACAUGAAUGAUGUAUUUUACCAACUCAAAGCUUUUUUUAUUCCUAAUUAUUAAAUUUUGACUGGAAGUAUCUGAGAGUUUCACAUUCACAGAAAACCAAUUGGUACUUGCAUGGUCUUAGAAAAGAACUAUAUAGUUGUGGAAAGUCAUGGAACUUGGUUCUGAAAUAUCUGUAACAAACUUGAAAGACCAAUCUUACUUAUUUGAUAUGCAUAAUAAUGUAUUAAGAACAUUAGACCAUACAUAACAUAUCAAGAGAUGCCAUAAUAUAGACACUUAACAUGAAAUAGUCCAUUACCUGACCAUACAAUAACCACUCAAUAAAUGAUAUUGUACUAAUGUCAA
rnacentral:misc_RNA from 1 species